CCUACGGGGAGCAGCAGUGGGGAAUAUUGGACAAUGGGCGAAAGCCUGAUCCAGCCAUGCCGCGUGUGUGAAGAAGGCCUUCGGGUUGUAAAGCACUUUCAGUGGGGAAGAAAGCCUUGGGGCUAAUACCCUCGAGGAAGGACAUCACCCACAGAAGAAGCACCGGCUAACUCCGUGCCAGCAGCCGCGGUAAUACGGAGGGUGCGAGCGUUAAUCGGAAUUACUGGGCGUAAAGCGAGCGUAGGCGGUCUGAUAAGCCGGUUGUGAAAGCCCCGGGCUCAACCUGGGAACGGCAUCCGGAACUGUCAGGCUAGAGUGCAGGAGAGGAAGGUAGAAUUCCCGGUGUAGCGGUGAAAUGCGUAGAGAUCGGGAGGAAUACCAGUGGCGAAGGCGGCCUUCUGGACUGACACUGACGCUGAGGUGCGAAAGCGUGGGUAGCAAACAGGAUUAGAUACCCUAGUAGUC
rnacentral:rRNA from 1 species